CUUUAUUAGGCAGGAUCUGGAAAAAAGAAAUCAAGGCCAAGCUCAACAAAACCACUGCUGCGCAGUAGCGGCCUUUUUUCACGCACAGAUGGUCAGCCAGAAGAAUGAGAGCUUUAUAAGACAGACAUCAUGCUGAUCCUUGGAAUCCCGUUCUCCCGGACCUCGUCAGGAGUUUUUCAUCACCAAAGUGGAUAAUAAGUCUGUCAGGCACCUCGUACAGAUCAAACAGGAGUUUGCCAAAAGGAAAUUGACACCUCAUUUGAAGAUAGCAGGGAAGAGUGGUACUACUUGAAUCCUGUUUAUCUUCAGAAGUGAUACUUUCCUCUUCCGCUGAUGGCAAAAGAUUUACGUAGAGAGAUAAAAUAAUUGGAAAAUGUAACUGAACAACCCAUUCACAAUACAUCUUUAUUCACAGACCUUCCUACUUCACUGAAGAACACAGAAAGGGAUGAAAUGUUUGGUGCAGUACAGCACUUCUACUCUAAUGGAACCAAGAGCCAAAUUAAGAAUUCCAUGUCCAGUAAGAGCCACAAGAACACUGGGAGAAAGGUUAGAAUCUGCUACUUGGGAACCAGAUUCACUGGAAAAGUAGAUCCUAUUCCUUGUUUUCCCUUUCCUACCCGACACAAACAAUGGAGGAGGAGUCUAAAUAAAUGAAUCCCUGGGUCCAGGGGUUCUGGAGCUUUUUUCCUGUUGCUGUCAUCCUGAGAUGCCGUCUGUUCCCAAAUCCUGUCUCAUUGCCCCAGUAUCAUUGUCAUGUCCACAGCCACAUCCUGCUUUUGUCAGUGAGUGCUCAAAGCGUUCCUGCUGGGUCAGAGAGUGUUAUAGAAACACAUGGAUUAGAUUGGACAAGGUAGAUAGAUAAACUAAUUCACGACUACAGACAUUGUAGGUAUCAGCUCAGCUGAACCACAGACUUUGACAUUUGAGAGAGAACCCAGAACCACUGGCCCAGAAGAAAAGACAGAUGUCUACUACUCAGAUUAAAGGCGAAUUCUCUGUAGCUGCUCCCCUAAUAGUUGGGUCAUACCUUACAUAAGCUGUCAUGAUAAAAUGCAGUGAGACCCGUACAUUGGCCAGUUACAGCGCCAACCCAGACGACCUUGGAUUUUAAUUGUGAUAGAAACUAGAAGUGCUGCGCAAGAGACUCACCACUUAUGCAAUAAGGGCUAUCUCCUUGUUCCACUGAUAUCAGCGGGAGUUAUGACAUUGAUUUCAAUGGGCCCAGGAUUUGGCUUUGAGAACUUGGACAGCAUCUGGUCUGUCGCCUAUACAAAAAUAUGCUCAUAGUUUGCUGUGACAUUACAUCAUUGCCUCCCAAGGACACUGAGGGCACAUUUACACUAAAAAGUUUUAUCAGUAAAAUUUCUGCCAGCAUACAGCUGCCAACAUUGCUGUGUCGCUGAAUGAUGUUCACUUUUGGCUGCCUUGGUCAGCGCAGCACCUUCUUGUGAGUACUUUCAACUGUGAGGCUGUGUGUGUAAACGGGGGAAUGGUCCUGCUAUUGUGGGGAACUUUCCUGGCUCAUACACUACCCCGGUGAAAUGGGCUAGCAAAAGGAUCUGAGUCCUCACUCCCACUUCCUUUACCCA